GUCAUUUUUUUAUGUACAGGUUCUAGCUUUUAGGGACAUAGGUCCCCAGCGGUCACUCACAUUCUUAUUAUCCCUAAAGUGAAGGAUGGCUUGACUGGAAUUUCUAAGGCUGAGGAGAAGCAUUGUGAGAUUCUUGGCCGGCUGCUUUACACCGCAAAGCUCGUUGCUAAACAAGAAGGCCUUGAGAAAGGCUUCAGGCUCGUGAUUAACGAUGGGCCUGAUGGAUAUAAGUAUUCUUUCUUAUUUGCUCUCGACCAUCAACUUUAAGUUUCUGUCUUCCCUUCUAUCUGAAAUCGGGUUUUGACAGGCCAAUCCGUUUAUCACCUUCACAUACACCUCCUUGGAGGACGCCAAAUGAACUGGCCUCCUGGUUAAACUGGAUUUGAUCUGCUAAGUGGUUUUAAACAGUGAUGCUUCUUCUAAAUUCUGCAUAUGAUUCAGGAUUCAAUUGAGAAGAAAAUUUAGAAGUUGAAAUUGAGUUCUUAAAUUUGUAUUUUUAUCUUUUCUUCCUCUCAGAUUUGAAGUGGAUGAAUGGUUUUGUUUGCAUUUUUGUGGUUAGUUGUCUUUUCCUGGCAUCGUUUUUUUGGCUGAUCAACUGACUCUUCUAUAAUCUUACUUUAUAAAUUCAGAGCAGUACAUCUUCAGCACGUUGGAUCAGUUGAUGGCAGUUCCAUGUCUUCUAAAUAUGUAUAUUCAUUUGACUUCCUGGAAGUUGCCUCAGAAUCCGAACAAUCUGCCAAGACUUCCCGUACCAAGUUGUUGUCUUUGCCUGCUGUAUUGGAACGUUCGGUAUCUGAGAACUCUGAUGGCUUGGAUCUUUUCAGUUCACCCUUUUCAUGAGCUCAAUAUGUUGAUUUGUUCCAGCAAUCUCCUACUUCUUCAGCUCCAACUUUUGUUUCGGAUCAGCCGCCCCACACCCUUCCAUCAUCAUCCUUAGACUUGUUUGCUGAGACGCCUGAUCAACAGAAAUGGUCUGCUGGUUCCAAUAGAAAAUUUUUUGAUGUAGUGUCAAAAAAUAACGGAUGAGCAACAUCUGACAUGCCUCCGUACAUAUCACCUAUGGGAACUGAAAACGCAAUCCCUACAAUGAUAUUAACUUUUGAUAGGUGUCUUCUAGGAAACAUAGAUCCAUAUUUGCAGGAUUCUCCUGAUCAUCAGCCUUCUCAAGAGAUGUCUACUUUAUGGCAUUAAAGUGAACAAGAUUUUGUAGCAAAUGCAGAAGCAAUGAGAGCUCAAAGCACUGCAUCUUCAGGAAGAGUUGGAUCAGUUGAUGGCAGUUCCAUGUCUUCCAAAUCUGUAUACUCAUUUUAACUUUCUGGAAGUUGCCUCAGAAUCCAAACAAUCUGUACUAUGUGGUUGUCUUUGCCUUCUGUAUCAGAACGUUCAGUAUCUGAGAACUCUGAUGACUUGGAUCUUUUCAGUUCACCCUUUUCAUUUGCUAAAUAUGUUGAUUUUUUUUCCGGCAAUCUCCUACUUCUUCAGCUCCAACUUUCGCUUCAGAUCAACUGCCACGAACCCCUCCAUCGUCAUCCUUAGACUUGUUUGCUGAGAUGCCUGAUCAACAGAAAUGGCCUGCUGGUUCCAAUAGCACAAUCUCUGAUGUAGUGUCAAAAAAAUGAAGGAUGGGCAACAUUUGACAUGCCUCCAAACACACCAUCUAUGGGAAUUGAAAAUUUUAUCACUGCAAUAAUACCAAUAUCUUAUAGGAGUCUACUAGGAAACACAGACCCAUAUUCUCAGGUUUAUUCUGAUCAUCAGCCUUCUAAAGAGACGUCUACUUUAUGGGAUGAAAGUGAACAAGAUUUGAAGCGAACCCAGAAGGAACGAGAGCUCAAGUAAGUGCAAAUUCUGUCUGGCUAUGUGAAGCAAGAAGAUAAAUAAGUUUGGCCAUGGCCAGAGAAUUUGAUUGUAGUAUAUAUGAACAGAGAAUUUGCUGUUAACGUUGUCCAGUCGAGGAAUACAUUCGAAGAUUCCAAAGGAGAACAGCCAAUUGAUAACAAUGUUGAAGUAGCUAACCAAUCACAAAAAACC